rnacentral:rRNA from 1 species
GGGUCGCAAGCCGGGCGACGGUAAGCCAAUUCCCAGAAACCCUAUUUCAGUCCGGAUUGGAGUUUGCAACUUGACUCCAUGAAGUCGGAAUCGCUAGUAAUCGCAGAUCAGCAAUGCUGCGGUGAAUACGUUCCCGGGCCUUGUACACACCGCCCGUCACACCAUGGGAGUUUGUUGCACCAGAAGCAGGUAGCUUAACCUUAGGGAGGGCGCUUGCCACGGUGUGGCUGAUGACUGGGGUGAAGUCGUAACAAGGUAGCCGAUCGGAAG